rnacentral:pre_miRNA from 1 species
CAUUCUACAGGAUCGAAUCAGUUUGUAAAUUUGUAAACUAUCUCUUCAACUAAUUCGAUUCUUUAGAGUAUU